UAAUUCUCUUUCGGAUGAAGAGAUUACACCAGGAAACAAGUGUCAGAUAAUGGCUCAGCGAAGCUUGUCUAAGAGACAAAAGUCUACUUGGGAAGUUUGAGUACUAGAUGUCACUUCCUUGCUUUCAUUAAAUUUUUCGUGUUUGUUCAAUGACUAACAAGAGAGCAGUGCAUCGGGAU